rnacentral:snRNA from 1 species
AUGCUUGCUUUGGCAGCACAUAUACUAAAAACAAUACAGAGAAGAUUACCAUUGCCCCUGUGCAAGGAUAACACAAAAAUUCAUGAAGCAUUCCAUAUUUUU